AUGGAAUUCAUAAUUUUCUCAAUGUUAUUUUUUUUUUCAUUAUUUUUUGCGGAAUAUUCAAGAGCUAAGACCAUUCUAAUGCUCCUUUUCUCCAUGCAUAAACUAAACCAACAAUUAGGAUAAGCACGAAAAUGAAAGCUUCUAUAAAUACGGAUAACCCCAAUAUAUCGAAACUCAUUGCCCAUGGAUAAAGAAAAACUGUUUCAACAUCAAAAACAACAAAAACUAGAGCAAACAUAUAAUAACGGAUUCGAAAUUG
rnacentral:misc_RNA from 1 species